rnacentral:rRNA from 1 species
GAUGAACGCUGGCGGCGUGCCUAAUACAUGCAAGUCGAGCGAAUGGAUUAAGAGCUUGCUCUUAUGAAGUUAGCGGCGGACGGGUGAGUAACACGUGGGUAACCUGCCCAUAAGACUGGGAUAACUCCGGGAAACCGGGGCUAAUACCGGAUAACAUUUUGAACCGCAUGGUUCGAAAUUGAAAAGCGGCUUCGGCUGUCACUUAUGGAUGGACCUGAGUCGCAUUAGCUAGUUGGUGAGGUAACGGCUCACCAAGGCAACGAUGCGUAGCCGACCUGAGAGGGUGAUCGGCCGCACUGGGACUGAGACACGGCCCAGACUCCUACGGGAGGCAGCAGUAGGGAAUCUUCCGCAAUGGACGAAAGUCUGACGGAGCAACGCCGCGUGAGUGAUGAAGGCUUUCGGUUCGUAAAACUCUGUUGUUAGGGAAGAACAAGUGCUAGUUGAAUAAGCUGGCACCUUGACGGUACCUAACCAGAAAGCCACGGCUAACUACGUGCCAGCCGCCGCCGUAA